GAGAGUUUGAUCCUGGCUCAGGACGAACGCUGGCGGCAUGCCUAAUACAUGCAAGUCGAGCGGAGUUGAAGAGAAGCUUGCUUUUCUGAUACUUAGCGGCGGACGGGUGAGUAACACGUAGGCAACCUGCCCUCAAGUUUGGGACAACUACCGGAAACGGUAGCUAAUACCGAAUAGUUGUUUUCUUCGCCUGAAGAGAACUGGAAAGACGGAGCAAUCUGUCACUUGGGGAUGGGCCUGCGGCGCAUUAGCUAGUUGGUGGGGUAACGGCUCACCAAGGCGACGAUGCGUAGCCGACCUGAGAGGGUGAUCGGCCACACUGGGACUGAGACACGGCCCAGACUCCUACGGGAGGCAGCAGUAGGGAAUCUUCCGCAAUGGGCGAAAGCCUGACGGAGCAAUGCCGCGUGAGUGAUGAAGGUUUUCGGAUCGUAAAGCUCUGUUGCCAGGGAAGAACGCUUGGGAGAGUAACUGCUCUCAAGGUGACGGUACCUGAGAAGAAAGCCCCGGCUAACUACGUGCCAGCAGCCGCGGUAAUACGUAGGGGGCAAGCGUUGUCCGGAAUUAUUGGGCGUAAAGCGCGCGCAGGCGGUCAUUUAAGUCUGGUGUUUAAUCCCGGGGCUCAACCCCGGAUCGCACUGGAAACUGGGUGACUUGAGUGCAGAAGAGGAGAGUGGAAUUCCACGUGUAGCGGUGAAAUGCGUAGAUAUGUGGAGGAACACCAGUGGCGAAGGCGACUCUCUGGGCUGUAACUGACGCU
rnacentral:rRNA from 1 species